rnacentral:rRNA from 1 species
CCUACGGGAGACAGCAGUGAGGAAUAUUGGUCAAUGGGCGCGAGCCUGAACCAGCCAAGUAGCGUGAAGGAUGACUGCCCUACGGGUUGUAAACUUCUUUUAUAAAGGAAUAAAGUGAGGCACGUGUGCCUUUUUGUAUGUACUUUAUGAAUAAGGAUCGGCUAACUCCGUGCCAGCAGCCGCGGUAAUACGGAGGAUCCGAGCGUUAUCCGGAUUUAUUGGGUUUAAAGGGUGCGUAGAUGGGUUGUUAAGUCAGUUGUGAAAGGUUGGGGCUUAACCCUGAAAUUGCCAUUGAUACUGGCAGCCUAGAGAAUAGUUGCGGUAGGCGGAAUGCGUGGUGUAGCGGUGAAAUGCUUAGAUAUCGCGCAGAACACCGAUUGCGAAGGCAGCAUACCGGCGGAGAUCUGACGCUGAGGCACGAAAGCGUGGGUAUCGAACAGGAUUAGAUACCCCAGUAGUC